GUCGAACGGUAGCACAGAGAGCUUGCUCUCGGGUGACGAGUGGCGGACGGGUGAGUAAUGUCUGGGAAACUGCCUGAUGGAGGGGGAUAACUACUGGAAACGGUAGCUAAUACCGCAUAAUGUCGCAAGACCAAAGAGGGGGACCUUCGGGCCUCUUGCCAUCAGAUGUGCCCAGAUGGGAUUAGCUAGUAGGUGGGGUAACGGCUCACCUAGGCGACGAUCCCUAGCUGGUCUGAGAGGAUGACCAGCCACACUGGAACUGAGACACGGUCCAGACUCCUACGGGAGGCAGCAGUGGGGAAUAUUGCACAAUGGGCGCAAGCCUGAUGCAGCCAUGCCGCGUGUAUGAAGAAGGCCUUCGGGUUGUAAAGUACUUUCAGCGGGGAGGAAGGUGUUGUGGUUAAUAACCGCAGCAAUUGACGUUACCCGCAGAAGAAGCACCGGCUAACUCCGUGCCAGCAGCCGCGGUAAUACGGAGGGUGCAAGCGUUAAUCGGAAUUACUGGGCGUAAAGCGCACGCAGGCGGUCUGUCAAGUCGGAUGUGAAAUCCCCGGGCUCAACCUGGGAACUGCAUUCGAAACUGGCAGGCUGGAGUCUUGUAGAGGGGGGUAGAAUUCCAGGUGUAGCGGUGAAAUGCGUAGAGAUCUGGAGGAAUACCGGUGGCGAAGGCGGCCCCCUGGACAAAGACUGACGCUCAUGUGCGAAAGCGUGGGGGAGCAAACAGGAUUAGAUACCCUGGUAGUGCACGCCGUAAACGAUGUCGAUUUGGAGGUUGUGCCCUUGAGGCGUGGCUUCCGGAGCUAACGCGUUAAAUCGACCGCCUGGGGAGUACGGCCGCAAGGUUAAAACUCAAAUGAAUUGACGGGGGCCCGCACAAGCGGUGGAGCAUGUGGUUUAAUUCGAUGCAACGCGAACAACCUUACCUGGUCUUGACAUCCACAGAACUUUCCAGAGAUGGAUUGGUGCCUUCGGGAACUGUGAGACAGGUGCUGCAUGGCUGUCGUCAGCUCGUGUUGUGAAAUGUUGGGUUAAGUCCCGCAACGAGCGCAACCCUUAUCCUUUGUUGCCAGCGGUCCGGCCGGGAACUCAAAGGAGACUGCCAGUGAUAAACUGGAGGAAGGUGGGGAUGACGUCAAGUCAUCAUGGCCCUUACGACCAGGGCUACACACGUGCUACAAUGGCGCAUACAAAGAGAAGCGACCUCGCGAGAGCAAGCGGACCUCAUAAAGUGCGUCGUAGUCCGGAUUGGAGUCUGCAACUCGACUCCAUGAAGUCGGAAUCGCUAGUAAUCGUAGAUCAGAAUGCUACGGUGAAUACGUUCCCGGGCCUUGUACACACCGCCCGUCACACCAUGGGAGUGGGUUGCAAAAGAAGUAGGUAGCUUAACCUUCGGGAGGGCGCUACC
rnacentral:rRNA from 1 species